rnacentral:rRNA from 1 species
GAAUUUUAUAUAAUUAUUAUUUGAAUUUUUGAUAUUUUAUAUAAGGGAGAUUAGUAGUUAUAUUUAGUUGGGAGGAUUGUUAAAUUUUUAAAACUUUAAUUAUGAUAUUACAUAAAUGAAUGGAUUUAAGAGUGAUUUAUUAUAUAAAAAAAUAAUUUAAUUAAAUAAGAAUUAAUUACCUUAGGGAUAACAGCGUAAUAUUUUUGGUGAGAUCAUAUUAAUAAAAAUGUUUGC